rnacentral:rRNA from 2 species
AGAGUUUGAUCCUGGGCUCAGGACAAACGCUGGCAGCGUGCCUAACACAUGCAAGUCGAACGUCCUUUUGCAAGAGAGGGCGUGGCGGACGGGUGAGGAACACGUGGAUAACCUACCUUCCAGUGAGGGAUACCGGCGAGAAAUCGCCGACAAUACCGCAUAGGCUCUUUCGUGAGAGAGAGCAAAGCCGCAAGGCGCUGGGAGAUGGGUCUGCGUCCGAUUAGCUAGCUGGUGGGGUAAAGGCCUACCAGGGCGACGAUCGGUAGCUGGUCUGAGAGGAUGAUCAGCCACACUGGGAUUGAGAACGGCCCAGACUCCUACGGGGGGCAGCAGUGAGGAAUCUUCGGCAAUGGGCGCAAGCCUGACCGAGCAACGCCGCGUGCAGGAAGACGGCCUUCGGGUUGUAAACUGCUUUUCUGUGGGACGAGCAAGGACGGUACCACAGGAACCAGCCCCGGCUAACUACGUGCCAGCAGCCGCGGUAAUACGUAGGGGGCGAGCGUUGUCCGGAGUUACUGGGCGUAAAGGGUACGCAGGCGGUUCUGCGCGUUUGGGGUGACAGCUCCCGGCUUCACUGGGAGAGGACUCUAAAGACGGCAGAACUUGAGGGCUGGAGAGGGAACGGGAACUCCUGGUGGAGCGGUGAAAUGCGUAGAGAUCAGGAAGAACACCAAAGGCGAAGGCACGUUCCUGGACAGCAUCUGACGCUCAGGUACGACAGCUAGGGGAGCAAACGGGAUUAGAUACCCCGGUAGUCCUAGCCGUAAACGAUGACCACGAGGUGUGGGAGGUAUCGACCCCUUCCGUGCCGCCUCUAACGAAGUCAGUGGUCCGCCUGGGGAGUACGGUCGCAAGAUUAAAACUCAAAGGAAUUGACGGGGACCCGCACAAGCAGCGGAGCGUGUGGUUUAAUUCGAUGCAACGCGAAGCACCUUACCAGGGUUUGACAUGCUCUCGCAGCGUGCUGAGAGGCGCGUACCCGCAAGGGACGGGAGCACAGGUGCUGCAUGGCUGUCGUCAGCUCGUGCCGUGAGGUGUUGGGUUAAGUCCCGCAACAAGCGCAACCCCCAUCGUCGGUUAUUGGUGUCCGACGAGACUGCCACGAUCAACGUGGAGGAAGGCGGGGAUGACGUCAAGUCAGCACGGCCCUUACAUCCUGGGCGACACACACGCUACAAUGGUCGGGACAAAGAGUUGCCAACCCGCGAGGGGGAGCUAAUCUCAGCAAACCCGAUCUCAGUUCAGAUUGCAGGCUGCAACCCGCCUGCAUGAAGGAGGAGUUGCUAGUAACCGUGGGUCAGCACACCACGGUGAAUACGUUCCCGGGUCUUGUACACACCGCCCGUCACACCACGAAAGUCGGCAACACCUGAAGCCGCUGGGCUAACCUCGUCAGAGGAGGCAGGCGUCGAGGGUGGGGUCGGUGAUUGGGGUGAAGUCGUAACAAGGUAGCUGUACCGGAAGGUGCGGCUGGGAUCACCUCCUU